UAAUAUUUUACACAGUGAAACCGAGGAAAACAGAUUCUUGAAGUCUUGAAGCUGCUCAGACCUGUGAUGAAAACUUUUCACUGUGGUUUUAUUUUGUUCGUGAAAGAUGGUGGUGGUCUGUUGUUUCGCAGACACAGCCAAGGCUCUCUUUCCUUCCAGCGGAGAGAUAGUCUCGUCUCUGUUGUGAAAAAAGGGAUACAAGGUAAAGGGCUGCAGUUGGAGCACGUAAUUCUCUCAGUGUCACCUUUCUUCCAUCUGCCGGUUCUCGAUACGGCCAUCUACUGUCACCCCCAUUAACACUCCUGAGUGGUCCCGUUCUUGUCAAAACAACUACCCCCACCUCCACAUACCCAUGAAGAUAACCUUUAAUAAAUCCAACAAUUAUAUUUUGUUUUAAAGGGCCAUUGGUAAAAGAUCCACUACACUACAAUUCAUUCUCUUGUAAUUGGAAAUCUAAGUGUUAAUCCCACUCCUUCCUACUUUCUUUAGGCUUAAGCCCAGAGUACCUACAAACAUAGCUGGCAUCAUCUUGUUCCCUCUUAUCUCACAACAUGGCAGAUAUCUAUAGCCCAUAACACCCC
rnacentral:misc_RNA from 1 species